CAGUUUUGGCGGAGCCAUCCUUGGGAUACCACCCUUGUAGUACUGGGACUCUAACCAUAGGCCAUGAAUCUGGUCUUGGGACACUGUCAGGUGGGCAGUUUGACUGGGGCGGUCGCCUCCCAAAAGGUAACGGAGGCGCUCAAAGGUUCUCUCAGUACGGUCGGAAAUCGUACGUAGAGUGUAAAGGCAAAAGAGAGCUUGAUUGCAAGACAUACAGGUCGAGCAAGGAUGAAAAUCGGACUUAGUGAUCCGGUGGUUCUGCGUGGAAGGGCCAUCGCUCAACGGAUAAAAGCUACCCUGGGGAUAACAGGCUUAUCUCCCCCAAGAGUCCACAUCGACGGGGAGGUUUGGCACCUCGAUGUCGGCUCAUCACAUCCUGGGGCUGUAGUAGGUCCCAAGGGUUGGGCUGUUCGCCCAUUAAAGUGGUACGCGAGCUGGGUUCAGAACGUCGUGAGACAGUUCGGUCCCUAUCCGUCGCAGGCGUAGGAAAUUUGAGAAG
rnacentral:rRNA from 1 species